GGGUUGUGAGGUUAAGCGACUAAGCGUACACGGUGGAUGCCCUGGCAGUCAGAGGCGAUGAAGGGCGUGCUAAUCUGCGAUAAGCGCCGGUAAGGUGAUAUGAACCGUUAUAACCGGCGAUACCCGAAUGGGGAAACCCAGUGUGAUUCGUCACACUAUCAUUAACUGAAUCCAUAGGUUAAUGAGGCGAACCGGGGGAACUGAAACAUCUAAGUACCCCGAGGAAAAGAAAUCAACCGAGAUUCCCCCAGUAG
rnacentral:rRNA from 2 species